CUGCAAAUUGCAUACAGGUGAAAUCCUGCUUCAUACGUAGCCUGGGUAGGAGAUAGAACGUUAGGAGGUUCUUCAGAAUGCAACUAGAUAAAAUUCAUUUAACUCACGGAGCAUAAACCAUGGAUUGUCAUCAUCAUGUGCAGAAUGAUGGUUUUCAAGACUCAACCAGACAAGCCCAUAAGCAACUUGAUCUAAUUACACCUGCUCUGAAUUGAGGGUUGGAGUAGAUGACUUCCAGAGGUCCCCUCCUGCUUAAAUUAUUCUAUAAUUUUUAUAAAUGUCCUAAACUUAAGUACUUUUUUGUGUGAUCUGUGAUAUAUGUUAUAUGAUAUUGGCAGAGAUUUUCUGAUUUAUUGAGGUUAUUUACACCAAAAUGUUCUUUGAAAAGGUUAUACUACUGUUACAUUACAAAAUAUAAUCUUACUGUCUAUGUGCUACUCUUCAUACCAAUGUUUGACUGAAUUCUUGGCUGCUGUAAAUCAUUUUAGCAAUGUAAGUAGUUAGUUACAACAGUUUUGUUUUAUUUUUAUAGUAUGUCCAAGUGUGAGUGUUCAAGUUGUCUAUUAGCUUUUAAAUUUAUAAGGAUAUCUCUUUCUAACUUGGGCUAAGGCUUCUAGGAAGGGGGACAGGGGCAAAUAGAAUUCAUGUUUACUCCUAAGUUUUUCCUUACUGCUGCUAUGAUUUAUAAUAUCCUCCAUGUAAAUGAGGGCUGGGCCCUUGCAUGCUUCAUUUUAAUACUGAAGUCCAAAGUACUUAUUUAUAAUGAUAACUGCUUUUGAUCUGCUGAAACGUCACUGAUUUUUUUUGGCAAAGAAUUUGCCAUAUUCCGCAGUGUUUGAGGUUUGACCGAUUGAAGAUCCAGCCUCUGAGAUUUGGCUUGCAGGGACCACCAAACCUUGGACGUAUGUAAUCAUGUGGGAACAGUUUGCUUCUAGAAAUCAGGAAAUAUUUCCCUAAGCUGCUGAUUGCUAGGAGAGUAUACCACAGAAAGGCUAAUUCACUGACUUUGUUUUUGUUCCUAAACAGCUGUUUCCUGAACAUGGGUGGAAACAGCAUACUGGACUAGAAGGACCUUUGAUUUGACUCAUUAUGACUGCUGUUGUUUCUCUGUAAAGUAAUAGCUGGUUGUAGCUGUGCCUAAUAAGGACUGGUAAAGGAGGACCCAGACAAAUGAUACAGUUAGGGAUUAAGAGAGGUUGCACUGAUGAAGAGUUAUUGAGGUGGUCAUACUUGACUGUUGAAAUAAAGCUUAAAAUUGCUGCUGUUCAACAAAUAUUACUGCUGUUCAACUAAUAUAGCUGGUUAAAAUCUCCCUUGAUUUUAAGAUCUUAAUUAUAUUGCUCUGACAAUCAGCAAAAUGGCCAUUUCAUGUGGACCGCAAGAUGUCAACAAGACACACCCACUCCCACUGUCCACAUUUGGCAGAUUGUUUUUUUAAAAGUGAAAUAGCACGUUUGAAGAGAGCCAAACCAAACCCAAAAUGAAGACAAAACCAGAAGGACCAUUCAAGUGGGUGUGACACUGUGUCUGUUAUUUAAAACAGACCUCUUUUUCCAACAGGUCUCAUGACACAUUUGUCCAAAGAUGGAAUCUUGAAGUCAUCAGGUUUAUGGUAACAAAUGACUCAAAGUGAGCAAUUCUCUCCCUGUUUGGGUUUCUUUAAAAUUUAAUUUAACUUCUAUUGUGAGAUUAAGGAAAUAAGAAAAUAAUUGAUGAUUGUCUAACCUAAAACCUCUAAUAUAGAGUUCCAUCACUGGUGAUGGAUAGUGUGUUGUGGGCAUGUUAGCUGCAAAAAUAUAUGGGUUAGGUUGAUGCACUCCUUCACUCAGGUUUAUCUCAGGCACACUUGGGACACUCAAGUCCCUCUUCUGAAGGACUUGAUGGAGGCUUUCAAAACAUGAAAAUAUCAUUGUGUUCCGAAGUAUGAUGACUGAAGCAAUUGGAUGGCCAUCUGAAAAUGUAACUAUUAUUUCUAUUUACUUUACCAUCAGUUGUGUGACUGUAAAAUAGUAUAGGAAGCUAAAAUCUUACAAACUUCCUUUUUGUGCUCCACAACUAAUGCAGAACUGUUCAUUUUAAAUUAAUCAUUUUUUUUGUUUAUUGACUAUUUAAAGAUACUUUUAUAAAGAA